AUCGCGGAACGAAUAUCUUGGAAAACCAGUAGACACUCCAGUAAUAGGAAGCCAGUGGACACUCAAGUAGUACGUUGUAUCGAAUUGCUAAUUUGACUAGUACUGCUGAUCGUGCUGUCCCAAAACACUUGUCAAGAUUCUACUAUGUGUUGCAUUGAGAAGCCAAUGCCAAGAACCUAAAUGUAAUAUGGGAGAAAUUCAUUUAUCAAUUCUGAGGAAUUAAGACCAGAGUGAAGUGACCGGCAACCGAUGAACCUCAUUGUCAUGUUUGGGCGUCUUGAACUUCUGGCCUCUGAUGACUUCGAGGUCUUUUGUUAUUAGCAAAAUCAAGACAAAGUGAAGUGAAGUGAACAACAACAAUUAAGAAUUAGUUAAUUUA